rnacentral:rRNA from 1 species
ACAGCAGUAGCCGCGGGAAUACGUAGGUGGCGAGCGUUGUCCGGAAUUAUUGGGCGUAAAGGGAGCGCAGGCGGACAUAUAAGUCCAUCUUAAAAGUGCGGGGCUCAACCCCGUGAGGAGAUGGAAACUGUAUGCCUUGAGUGCAGGAGAGGAAAGCGGAAUUCCCAGUGUAGCGGUGAAAUGCGUAGAUAUUGGGAGGAACACCAGUGGCGAAGGCGGCUUUUUGGACUGCAACUGACGCUGAGGCUCGAAAGCCAGGGGAGCGAACGGGAUUAGAUACCCCCGUAGUCCCUGUCUCUUAUACA